rnacentral:lncRNA from 1 species
AAAAAAAGAUCAGUUCCAACUGUAUUUUGUUGGAAAAGAAAAUUAUCCUCAAACACCCCAGACAGAAGUGAUCUACUUUUUAAAAGAAACAAAACAAAAUCUGAAAUAUUAUUUACAGAAGAAAAUAUUGAAAUAAAUGAUCCAUGCACUUCUGAUAUAGGAUUUCUAACAAUGUAUUGUUUUCUGUUAAUCCAUCUGGAGAAGCAGCAAGAAAAGGAUGCAUUGUUGACACAAAUAAUCCACAUUUAACAGUUUCUAGCUUCG